rnacentral:rRNA from 1 species
AGGGGAAGGUUCGUCCGCCCUGGGUUAGUCGGGACCUAAGCUGAGGCCGAAAGGCGUAGGUGAUGGACAACAGGUUGAUAUUCCUGUACUACCGAUAACCGUUUGAGAGAAGGGAUGACACAGUAGGAUAAGCUAAGCACACUGUUGGUUAUGUGUGCCCAAGCAUUGAGGCAGUCAAAGUAGGCAAAUCCGCUUUGAUAAUGCUGGGAUGUGAUGGGGAGCGAAAUUUAGUAGCGAAGUAGCUGAUUUCACACUGUCAAGAAAAGUCUCUAUCGAGGUUAAAGGUACCCGUACCGCAAACCGACACAGGUGGGUGAGGAGAGUAUCCUAAGGCCAGCGAGAGAACUGUUGUUAAGGAACUCGGCAAAAUGACCCCGUAACUUAGGGAUAAGGGGUGCCACCAUCAGGUGGCCGCAGAGAAUAGGCCCAAGCGACUGUUUACCAAAAACAUAGGUUUCUGCUAAGUCGCAAGACGAUGUAUAGGAGCUGACGCCUGCCCGGUGCUGGAAGGUUAAGGGGAUCUGUUAGAGCAAUCGAAGCAGUGAACUUAAGCCCCAGUAAACGGCGGCCGUAACUAUAACGGUCCUAAGGUAGCGAAAUUCCUUGUCGGGUAAGUUCCGACCCGCACGAAAGGCGUAACGAUUUGGGCACUGUCUCAACAACAGACUCGGUGAAAUUGUAAUUCCGGUGAAGAUGCCGGAUACCUGCGACAGGACGGAAAGACCCCAUGGAGCUUUACUGUAGCUUGACAUUGGGUCUUGGUACUACAUGUACAGGAUAGGUGGGAGGCUUUGAAACCAGGACGCCAGUUUUGGCGGAGCCAUCCUUGGGAUACCACCCUUGUAGUACUGGGACUCUAACCAUAGGCCAUGAAUCUGGUCUUGGGACACUGUCAGGUGGGCAGUUUGACUGGGGCGGUCGCCUCCCAAAAGGUAACGGAGGCGCUCAAAGGUUCUCUCAGUACGGUCGGAAAUCGUACGUAGAGUGUAAAGGCAAAAGAGAGCUUGAUUGCAAGACAUACAGGUCGAGCAAGGAUGAAAAUCGGACUUAGUGAUCCGGUGGUUCUGCGUGGAAGGGCCAUCGCUCAACGGAUAAAAGCUACCCUGGGGAUAACAGGCUUAUCUCCCCCAAGAGUCCACAUCGACGGGGAGGUUUGGCACCUCGAUGUCGGCUCAUCACAUCCUGGGGCUGUAGUAGGUCCCAAGGGUUGGGCUGUUCGCCCAUUAAAGUGGUACGCGAGCUGGGUUCAGAACGUCGUGAGACAGUUCGGUCCCUAUCCGUCGCAGGCGUAGGAAAUUUGAGAAGACCUGUCCUUAGUACGAGAGGACCGGGAUGGACG